UGGGGAAUAUUGGACAAUGGGCGAAAGCCUGAUCCAGCAAUGCCGCGUGAGUGAUGAAGGCCUUAGGGUUGUAAAGCUCUUUUACCCGGGAUGAUAAUGACAGUACCGGGAGAAUAAGCCCCGGCUAACUCCGUGCCAGCAGCCGCGGUAAUACGGAGGGGGCUAGCGUUAUUCGGAAUUACUGGGCGUAAAGCGCACGUAGGCGGCUUUGUAAGUAAGAGGUGAAAGCCCGGAGCUCAACUCCGGAACUGCCUUUUAGACUGCAUCGCUUGAAUCCAGGAGAGGUGAGUGGAAUUCCGAGUGUAGAGGUGAAAUUCGUAGAUAUUCGGAAGAACACCAGUGGCGAAGGCGGCUCACUGGACUGGUAUUGACGCUGAGGUGCGAAAGCGUGGGGAGCAAACA
rnacentral:rRNA from 1 species